rnacentral:rRNA from 1 species
UACAGAGGGUGCAAGCGUUAUUCGGAAUCAUUGGGCGUAAAGGGCGCGUAGGCGGUUUGUUAAGUCUGGUGUGAAAGCCCUGGUUUCAAAUCAGGAAGUGCAUUGGAUACUGGCAGACUAGAGCAUGGGAGAGGAGAGCGGAAUUCCCGGUGUAGAGGUGAAAUUCGUAGAUAUCGGGAGGAACAACAGUGGCGAAGGCAGCUCUCUGGACCAUCGCUGACGCUGAGGCGCGAAAGCGUGGGGAGCAAACAGG